AACCCGUGCAGCUCUACAGGGUCUAUGUUUGCAGCUGAAGUUCGCAGAAAGCAAAUCCAAUUAGUGUCGUGCGCUCCAGAGCCAUCUCAAGUGACGUUUCGUGUCUUUCAGAAACGGGCAUGCAGAAGAGUAGAAGCAGCCAGCACAGAGUGGGGCUGUGCCCCCGCGAAGCUCAGCACCCUGGUGUCCUGGAGCGGCGAGGGGCUGCCACGUGUGGGGAUCCCUCAGAACGGUGGAAGGAGCUCGGCCCAGCCUUGCCCGAGAUGUAUUGCGGGGGAGUCUGGGCAUCUUAACCACACCGAGAGCCAGUAAGAGGUGCCAGCUGGAAGGUUCUGUCCAUGUGCCAACGAGGGUCGCCCUCAGGAUGGACCUGGGCGCCCACCUGUUCAAAUCGCAGCCCCAUGUCCCCUGGUUCAGGAGAUCCCACCGCCUGCCACGUGAGAGCCAGGAGGACCCCAUCACCUCAGAGGAGCCUUCAAACUGUUGUCCCCCACACACCUUUCAGAUGUAUCUUUCUUGACAAGGAAAUCGUUUGAAUCAUUUAAAAGUUUAAAAAAAAGGUCCAUAUCAGAUUUCCUGUGAGGUUUGAGAACGUGCGUCCUCUGGAACCGUAUCCGGAUGUAGCCCUGCUUUCCUAAUUUCCAGGUGUUUUGUGGACUGAUCAGAGCUGCUUAUGUAUUCUUUUUUAAUUAAAAGACUUAUUUUUAUAUUUAAAAUGCUCUAUUAUCUUAAACUGAGUUUUACUAAAUGCUGGUAUCCAAUCUGUUCUGUGUAAUUCCCCAAAUGAAGUUAUCAGGCACAAGGUCUCUUUUAUAUUAAAAUGGAAAUGUCUCAUUUCUCUUGGGUUUCC
rnacentral:lncRNA from 1 species